GGAGAGGUGGCGGAGUCCGGCUGAACGUACCUGACUCGAAAUCAGGCGUACCCGUAAGGGUACCGUGGGUUCAAAUCCCACCCUCUCCGCCA
rnacentral:tRNA from 1 species